rnacentral:rRNA from 1 species
GUGGGGAAUAUUGGACAAUGGGCGAAAGCCUGAUCCAGCCAUGCCGCGUGUGUGAAGAAGGUCUUCGGAUUGUAAAGCACUUUAAGUUGGGAGGAAGGGCAGUAAGUUAAUACCUUGCUGUUUUGACGUUACCGACAGAAUAAGCACCGGCUAACUUCGUGCCAGCAGCCGCGGUAAUACGAAGGGUGCAAGCGUUAAUCGGAAUUACUGGGCGUAAAGCGCGCGUAGGUGGUUUUGUAAGUUGGAGGUGAAAUCCCCGGGCUCAACCUGGGAACUGGCUCCAAAACUGGAUGACUAGAGGACGGUAGAGGGUAGUUGAAAUUCCUGUGUAGCGGUGAAAUGCGUAGAUAUAGGAAAGAACCCCAGUGGCGAAGGCGACUACCUGGACUGAUACUGACACUGAGGUGCGAAAGCGUUGGGAGCAAACAGGAUUAGAUACCCUGGUAGUCC